UAGAAAACUUAGAACAUCUCUUAAAAAAAAAAACUAAGAAGUAAGAACACACAAAAACAAAUGAAAAAGAGAAAUCAAACAAGGAAUUUGUAAUAUCCACUCCCUCCCUAUCCUUGUUCUUCUUGUUCUCCUCUCCCCUUGUCUUUUUACAUUCUCGAGAUUAAACCUUCUUCUAAUUCCAAUGGCUUCUGCUAUCUCUGCUUCUGAUCCUUCUCUCUUCAAAGACCCCACCAAGAAGAAGAAGGGAAAUGGGUCAGCGAAAUUGAAGCAAAUCAAGCUUGAUGUUCGGCGAGAGCAAUGGCUAUCUCGAGGAUUUCCGGAGUUGUACUCAUCACUCUAUCUACCAAAAGAAAAGGAAACCUGAACUUUCCACAUCCCACCAUACCAUUGCAGACAAUUAGUUAGUUAUAAUAUAAACAAGAAGAGAAACAAAGAAACAAAACCAGGAGGAAUAAAGUAUGCAACACAAUUUCAAAAAGGAACAUGUGAUGUGACCUUAAGGUUACCAAUAAAGGAAAUUUUUAUAGACAACAUACAAAUUCAAACUUUCAAUGUAUUUAUUUUGCGUUUAUCAAGUAAAAGGUUCAAAAACUUCUACUUGUCAAGUUAGCUAAACCCUAAUCCCAAAUAUUAAAAAGAAUUUUAGGGAGAGGUAAUUUAAAGGGUGGGGUAAUUUGAAAAUUUUAUUAAAAAGUUAACAAAAAAAUUAGAAUUUGGUACUUUUGUCAUACAUAACACAUCUUAAAUGGGUAUAACGUUAAUUUUCUUUUUUUAUGAGUACUUUUGUCAACAUUCGUAUAAUUCAUGAAUACAAAUGGUUGUUUUUUAAAAUUAUUUUAGUUGACAUAAAUAUAAUAAAGAGUAAAUGUAUAUAUUCAUUAAUAUAUAAGGUUAUAUUAGACUUUUUACUUUGAAAAGUAUAUUCAUACUUUGAAAAACACCCAUAGUUUUUCAAAGCUAAAAGCACAAACAACAAUCUUUUGGAUUUACCAAACAGAAAGGGAGGUAUUUACAUCUUUCCAAAAAGUUUUAUCAAACCGGCUAAAGUUUGAUUGGAAGUGAGUUAAGGCAGUCCAUGAGCCAGUUCGACCUCGACUUGUUAGCUUGUAAGCCAAUCUUGAGCUUGAAUUUGAGCUCGUAUAUUAAAUUAGACAAGCUUGAUCUUGGAUAAGUUGCUCAUUGGUUCGUGACUGGCUUGAUUAUAUAUAUAUAUAUUGUAUUUUAUACACAUAUGGCAUAAUACAAAUUUUUAUAUAUAAUUAUGACAGAGGACAUCAAUAAUAAUUGAUAGAGAUAUAACUUUUUAUUUAUAUAUAGAUUAUGUUCAUGUUAUUUGAGCCAGUUCGUGAGAUUUUGGUAAGUCGAGUUUGAUCUUUACAAAUAAGCUCGAUUGUUUGAGUCGAGCCACGAACCGAGCUUGAGCUUGGCCCAGUUCGCCUCAGCUCGGCUCACUUCCAGCCCUAGGCUGAAGUGUCUUGUGCUUUUUCUUUCUUUUUAUUCAUUGUUUCUUACAUUCUUGUCUUUCAGUAAAGAAAGGAUCUAAUGUCGACUCAAAUAGAAGCAUUGAUUAUUGUCCAUCAUCUAAGCAUGUUCCUACUGAGGAGAACAGAUCAUCAAACAAGGAAAACAAGAAAAGGGGAGAGAAUACAGAAAGUUCUUGCAUCCCACUCAACGAUUCAACAUCCAUUCGAAGUCCUCUCGAUCACGAGUCAAGGAAUGGUUUCUCUUCAUGGAGUAGCACCAGCAUUAGUAGC